CAUUUCACUAUCUGAAGAGCAGAAAAUGUGUUAAUAGGAGCCUGGUGAGUGGAGGAGACUGAAGAUGGAGAGAGAGCCUGGACCUCAACAUGAGCAUCUGGAGCCAUUUGGCAGCAUUAGGCUGUGACCGCUUAGAGAACCGAAAGAAAAGAGAAAACAUUUCCAUGGAAGAGGAAACAGGAAAUUCCAACAGAUCAGCAACAGUUGGAGUGCUAACCUGUCACUGGAAUGGGAAAAAAAAUGCUGUCGUUGACACAUCUUUUCCUUGUUUUUGACACAAAUUAGAAACACCACCUGGAACACAGCUGUGACUUGAUAAACAAGUGAAACAUUCUUUGGUGUGGUGAGGGGAAAACAAAUUUCUCAAAGGACACGCACCAUGGUGUAUGAGAGGACACUGGAGCCCAGCCAGCAUCUGACAUGCUGAAUUCAAAGUGCAGGUGAAAGUAGGACAACUGAUUCACAAGCUGGGAUGCCUGUGUUGUUGUUUGCCAGUGUGCGUGUGUGUGUUUUCCUGGCACCCUUCAUUCAUUCCCCAGCACAGUUGACAUCAGGUUGGAAGCAGUGAGUUCUGAGGGAGACUGCUAGAGGACCCAACUUGGAGAAUCAACGAUCUGCGAUGAAGAUAAUGAAGAUAAAGACAAUGUCAAUGUCAGCGUCCAAAAUCAUAAGGACCCUUUAAGAAGCUUCCAGAGCAGAAGUGACUGUGCAAGAAGGGCCAAUAAAGUCUAGGCAAUGCACGACCAGGCGCGGUCGCUCACGCCUGUAAUCCCAGCACUUUGGGAGGCCGAGGUGGUUGGAUUACCUGAGGUUAGGAGUUUGAGACCAGCCUGACCAACAUAGUUUCACCCCAUCUCUACUAAAAAAAAAAAAAAAAACAAAACAAAAGUUAGCCAGGUGUGGUGCUGCACACCUGUAAUCCCAGCUACUCUGGAAGCUGAGGCAGGAGAAUCGCUUGAACCCAGGAGGCGGAGGUGGCAGUGAGCUGAGAUUGCACCGCUGCACUCCAGCCUGGGCGACAGAGUGAGACUCUGUCUCAAAAAUAAAUAAAUAAAUAAAUAAUAAAGUCUAGGCAAUGCAGCAGACUGCAGACAAAUGGGUCUCCAGACUCAUGAGCACUUGGCUUUUGUUACUCUCACCUCCACCACCCUUUACCUGGUUCUAUAUCUGUCCUUUGGACCUUCCUGCAUUUACCUUCCUGCUUUUGCUCCUUAGUCUGGUUUUGUCCCAGAAUUUACUCUCCUACUGCCCGCUCUCCUGUCCCUGAUGGUUCAUAGUUUCUUACUAUCAGGGAGAAACCCUGAUAUUGACUUGGCCCAGCAGUAAUUCUGUCCAUGCAAUUCUCUUGCAUGGGCUGUGACAGGCAGACACCUCACUAAUUAGAUCAGCACAGGGGUCUGCAUACAUUUAGUGUGGGGACCUCCAGCCCAUCCUGGAGCGCACAAAUUUAGUUCAGCACCAUUCAGCUGCUGAAAUUUGAUGCAGUGGCCCUGGAUGACCAAAGAAUGUGGUGAUAAUUCUAAACAGGGUGUGUUCAUUAAGUGAAGGAAAUGUAGAAUACGUUUUAGAUGAAAAAGAAAUUUUUAAGUUUGGAGGGUAAAGAUCAAUCAUCCGUAAAACUAACUGAUAUAUAACAGUUCAUUUUUGUUGAUACUAGAUAAAUAAGGAGUGAAGACAUUUUCAGAAUUACAAUGGCAUUUAUCUGCCUUCAUUAAAUUAAGCUCAGGAAACUAAUGCAGACUCCAAAUUGCCCACAGUCUAACACAGUCUCUGCAUCUGCGGUUAACAAAAUUAAAUUUGGGAAAAUCAAGAGUAAGACUUUUAAUGUUUCUACCACCUGUCAGCCUGGAAAGUUUUCUUAGUUUUUCUUUUUGGAGAGGCAUUUGAGAUUUGUGUUCCUGUCAACUUGAGAGAGGAAUGGAGGAAGUCAAAGGGAAGAAGAGGAGCUGAUGUUGCAGUCCGAGGGGAAACAGGAGUGAGGGCAGGGAGCCCAGAAGAGGGUCAGGGUGAAGAUGGGUGUGGGGAAGGCAGAGCAAACCAGCUGCUGCUGUCAACCCUGACCUAUUUCCUGGAGCUCUGGGAGCCCUCCCAUCCCUGCUCUCAGCAACAGUGAUGCUGCCUUUGGGCGGCUGUGCAGCCAACCCACACUGAGUGAUAGCUGUCCCUGUCAUUUUCUUAAAUGUCACCAGUGAAAGAGACAUUUCCACCUCCCUGGAGUACACAUACUCCACUUGUGGAUAAGUGGACACUUGGUUCCAUUUUCACAGCUUCCAAAAAUUGGUCACAGAUGACUAACAAUUGUGUCAACUUCUCUGGUAUGAGAAGCCAUAGAUGGAGGUAUACAGAAAUGAUUUCUUAAAAAAUGUAAUGUCCUUUCUAUGUGGCAGUAAAACAUCUUUCCUGCCACUAGGAGAAAUGUGUUCUUUGAAUUAUUUUCACAGCCAUAAAGGCAGACCUGUGAAAGGCUAUCUGUACUGGAUAGUUCUCUGCUUUCAUGGAUUUUAUUCAGAAUCAUCCAUUCUUGGAAAUGGUGGGGAAAGGGGAAAUAAAAAGAGAACAAAUAUAUGUUGGAUUAGUUAGUAUAAAUUAUAAUUCAUAAACUACAGUGUCCAAGCAAUAUUACCUUCCACAUAUUCUAGAAUAGCUUGGUUCCUAUUUUUGAGCCCCUGCCUGGUGCCAGUAACGUGUUUUCAGCUAAUUCAGGGUUUCUGUCCCCAUUUUCCUUGGAGGAAUAUCUAAGUUCUUUGGGGAUAUUGCUGGUGCCAAGCAUGAAGCUGUUGGAGAACGAGGAGGCUUUGGCAUCUUGUCCUCAGCAUCACGUAAAUCCUAUCAGAACUUAGAAGUGAAAUGGGAAGGAUUGUUUAUCUCCUGCCCAACUAGCUGCUGGGUUGUUCCUUACUCCCACUCACAAGGUCUCUUUGUGUCACUCUAGGUCAUUUUGCUCUCCUGAGACAGUCUGGGAACCACUUUGAGGCUGUUUGAGUCCAGAGCCAUGGCCUAGGCCUCUUGCAGUGUGGGGAUCCUGCUGUGUUCCCUCAGCCGAAUCAGGGGCACUGGGCAGUGCCUUCCCCUCUCCUGGCCUAUUCUCAGCCACGCCUAAGUGAUCUUAUUUCAUCUUGACACUAACCUUGGAUAUUUGAAAUAGAAUUAUUCAUUUACAAAGGAGGAAAAUGAGAUUCAGACAAGCUAAAUACAUGCCAAAGCCACAUAACUACAAGUGGCAGAGCUCAGUCUGCUUUCCAAACCCAUGCGGCUCCCUUCAUCACCGUGACUCACCCACUUUAUCCCCCAACUUCGAGGAAGUCUCUUCUGAUCACCCAAGAAUAAUGUCUGCCUCCUUAGAAAUUUUGUAGCCGUUGGUGUUUCAAUUUUGGGAGUGACAUCUAAUUGUCACACACUGUUUCACAUGCUAGCUAUCUGUGCACGUAUCUAGACAAGCCUGCUUAGGCUGUGGCUCCUGGAAGGCAAAGACCACUUCUUGUGUUUAUCUCUAUCCCAUCUACUAACACCACACUCUGCACAUGAUAAAUGUUUAAUAUAUGAUUGAUUACAAUAAAAACGUGUUAAAAAAUUGGUAAAUGGAUGAACCUCUACUUUCUAUAUGAAUGUAUUCUAUCUGUGUGCUUACACUGCAAUUAUAGGCUAGUUAACAAUGCAUGGCCUAUAGAUGUCUGCCCUUGUUCUUGCCUUCUAGUUCCACAGUCCUUAAUCCACACUGUACUUUGGAGAGCAUACAGGUCCAGCAGUGAUGCGGCUCUAUCUCACGCCUACUCUCUUAUUCUACUUACAGAAUCUGCUGUCCCCUGACUUUUUAAUUUCUCAGUUUUCUGACUCCAUUCCCAGGCUCCAGACAUAGGCCUCUAUGCUCUUCUUUUUAAAGACAAGUCAUUUGGACCCUUACUUGGAGCCUUUCUUGCCCUGUGGUAAGAUUGAAUCUCAACUCUGCAUGCUCCCUCAAUUGCCAGGGCACCUGGGACUCUGGGAACAGACAGGGUCUGUGCCCACAUCAGCCUGGUGGUAUUCUCACUGGCUUGGAGUAUUCUUGCCAGUGUCCUCAUCUUCCCACAGGACAGAAGGAUUAUCAUACGGUGAACAUAUGGAGUGUUCCCAAGGUGCCUCUUAAAAAAUCCCAAUAACUGGUUCAAUGGUACAGCUUAGAAAUGCGUAAUUGAAUUUUUAAAAAUAGUUUAGAUUAAAAUCUAUUUAGAAAAGGGGGAAAUGAUAUAUUUUCUUAUAUAUGCUAUGGCAAAGUUUAAUAUCCAAGGAUAAUCCCUACAGAGUUGUCAGAUCUGUUGGUUAUAAGGGAGAGAUACCUAAUUUAAAUUAAUUUAAGCAAAAGAAGAGAAUGAAUUGUUUAUAUAACUGAAAAGUCUAGGGCUUCAGGCACAAUAGAAUCCAGUGAUAUCUGUCUUUCUCUAAAUCUAGAGACUUUGCUUUCAAACUUUAAUUUGGACCCUAACAGGUGGGGCCUCUCUCAGAAGCAGAGAUACUUUCUCUCUCAGCAUCCAAUUAGUUGCUGAAAAAGUACUCUGAGUGGCCCUGCUUGGGUCAUGCCCGCUAUUAGACCAAUCUGUAUCCACUGAGAAAGGAUAUGCUGGUCAGCUUAGAUUAUGUUUCUUCUACUGUGGUUGUCAAUGCAGGAUCACAUGAUUGUGAGGUCCUCUAGAGUCCUCCAGACUAAGUGAGGCAAGGCAGAUUCCCAAAUGAAACAAUGUAGGGAAGACCGAAAUACCCAGCACAUGCCCAUUGUGUUCAUGAAUUAGGUCCUCCAUAAUGGUCCCCCCCCAUCUCACUACCCCCAGUGAAAUGAAUCUAUGCCCUACAAAUGGCUAAAGGGAAUUAACAUCUGUUGAUCUCUUGUUAAGUUCAAGCACUAUGCAGGGAAUAUUAAAAGCAUCAUAUUCUUUAACUCUUAUAAUUGUCUUCCUUUAUUCCACCUUUUUAACAAGUCUGCCACCAGUUCAGCAAGGCAAGCUAGGUCUCGUGUGGAAGGAAAGCCCUGCAGCCCCUCAGCAUUCACAGCUCUUAUUUUACUCACUGGUAUCUGGUCCUGUCCUCGAUCACUUUACCCUGACCUAACACCAGUCUCUAUUCCACCAUCAGUCAGCCCAGUUUUGCUACACCAAUUGACCAUCUCCAAAGAGUUUCUGACCUACCCCCUCCUUCUACCUGACAGUUCCACACACAGACCCCUUCCUCAUUCUCUGUGACUUACUGUAUUAGUCUAUUCUUGCACUGCUAUAAAGAAAUAUCCGAGACUGGAUAAUUUAUAAAGGAUAGAGGUUUAAUUGGCUCAUAGUUCUAUAGUCUGUACAGGAAGCAUAGAGGCUUCUGCUUUUGGGGAGGCCUCAGGAAAUUUAUAAUCAUGGCAGAAGGUGAAGGAGAAGCAAGCACAUCUUACAUGGCCAGAGCAGGAGCAAGAGGGUAGGGGAGAGCCUAUAUACUUUUAAACAACUAGAUCUCAUGAGAACUCCCUCACCAUUGCAACAUAGUACCAAGAGGAAAAUCCGCCCCCAUGAUCCAAUCACCUCCCACCAGGCCCCACCUCAAACAAUAGGGAGGAUUACAAUUCAACAUGAGAUUUGGGCAGGGUCACAGAUCCAAACCAUAUCAUUCUGCCCCAGCCCCUCCCAAAUCUCAUGUCCUUCUCACAUUUCAAAAUACAAUCAUAUUUACCCAAUAAUGUAUUCCCCCAAAAUUCCCCAAAGCCUUAGCUCAUUUCAUCACUUACUCAAAAGUCCACAGUUCAAAGUUUUAUGUGAGACAAGUCCCUUCUGCCUAUGAGCCUAUAAAAUUAAAAACAAGUUACUUACUCCCAAGAUACAAUUGGGGUACAAGCAUUGGGUAAAUACUCCCAUUCCAAAAGGGAUAAAUUGGCCAAAAGAAAGGGACCCAGCAGGGCAAUCAUUAAAUCUAAAAGCACCAAAAUCAUCUCCUUUGACUUCCAUGCUCCACAUCCAGAGCACACUGGUGUGAGGGGUAGGCUCCCAGAGCCUUCUGCAGCUCUAUGCCUUUGGCUUUGUAGGGUUCAGCCCCUGAGGCUGCUCUCAAGGGCUGAUAUUGAGUGUCUGUGGCUUCUCCAGGUGCAAGGUGCAAGCUGUUGGUGGAUCUGUCAUUAUGGGGUCUGGAGGAUGGUGGCCAUUUUCUCAUAGCUCCAUUAAGAAGUGUCCCAGUGGGGACUUUGUGUGGGGGACCCAACCCCACAUUUUUCCUCUGCACUGCCCUAGUAGAGGUUUUCCAUGAGGGCUCCACUCUUGCAGCAGGCUUCUGCCUAGACGUUCUGGCAUUUCCAUACAUCCUCUGAAAUCUAGGUGGAGGCUCCCAAGCCUCAACUCUUGCACUUUGUGCACCCACAGGCUUAACACCACAUGGAAGCCAACUAGGCUUAUGACUUGCAUCCUCUGAAGCAGGGGCCCAAGCUGUACCUUGGCCACUUUUAGCCAUGGCUGGAGUUGUAGCAACUGGGAUGUAGGAAGCUGUGUUCUGAGGCUGCAAAGGGCAGUGGGGCCCUUGGCCUGUCCAGGAAACCAUUCAAUCCUGUUAGGGCUCUGGGCCUGUGAUGGGAGGAGCUGCCAUGAAGUUCUCUAAAAUGGCUUCAAGGCUUUUUCCUCAUUGUCUUGGCUAUUAGCAUUUGCCUUCCCUUUAGUUAUACAAAUUUCUGCAGCCUGCUCGAAUUUCUCCCCUGAAAAUGAGCUACUACUGUUGCAACAUAGUACCAAACUUUCCUAACACAUGGCCAGGCUGCAAAAUUUCCAAACUUGCAUGCUAUGCUUUUUUUUUUUUUAAAUAUAAGUUCCAAUUUCAGGUAAUUUAUUUGCUUAUGUAUAUGAGCAUAGGUUGUUAGAAGUAGCCAGGUGACAUCUGAAUGCUGUGCUGCUUAGAAAUUUCUUCUGCCAGAUAUCCCAAAUCAUCUCUCUCAAGUUCAAAGUUUCACAGAUCCUUGGGGUAGGGUCAUAAUGCCUCCAAAUUCUUUGCUAAAACAUAACAAAAGUGACCUUUGUUCCAGCUCCCAAUAAGUUUCUCAUUUCUAUCUGAGAACUUCUCAGCCUGGACUUCAUUGUCCAUAUCACUAUCAGCAUUUUGAUUACAGCAAUUUAAGAAGUCUCUUGGAAGUUCCAAACUUUCCAUCAUCUUCCUGUUUUCUCAGCCCUCCAAACUGUUCCAACCUCUUCCCAUUAUCCAGUUAUAAAACUGCUUCUACAUUUUCAGGUAUCUUUAUAACAAUGCCCCACUCCUUGGAACCAAAAUCUGUAUUAGCCCGUUCUCACACUGCUAUAAAGAAAUACCUGAGACUGGGUAAUUUAUAAAGAAAAGAGAUUUAAUUGGCUUAUAGUUUUGCAGGCUGUACAGAAAAUAUACUGGCUUCAGCUUCUGGGGAGGCUUCAGGAAACUUGCAGUCAUGGCAGAAGGAGAAGGAGAAAUAGGCAGAUCUUACAUGGCCAAAGCAGGAGCAUGAAAGGUGAGAUUUCAGAGGUGUUUGAACCAGAGCAACUUCAUCUUUAAUAGGGACUGGGUAAAAUAAGGCUGAGACUUAUUGAGCUGCAUUCCUGGGAGGUUAGGCAUUCUUAGUCACAGGAUGAGAUAGAAGGUUGGCACAAGAUACAGGUCAUAAAGACCUUGCUGAUAAAACGGGUUGCAGUAAGGAAGCCAGCCAAAACCCACCAAAACCAAGAUGGUGAUGAGAGUGACCUCUGGUCGUCCUUACUGCUCAUUAUACGCUAAUUAUAAUGCAUUAGCUUGAUAAAAGACACUCCCACCAGCACCACAACAGUUUACGGAUGCCAUGGCAACAUCUGAAAUUACCCUAUAUAGUCUAAAAAAGGGAGGAACCAUCAUCUCCGGGAAUGGCCCAUCCCUUUCCCAGAAAACUUGUGAAUAAUCCACCCCUUGUUUAGCAUAUAAUCAAAAGAUAACUAUAAGCAUCCUUAAGCCAGAAGCUCAAGCCACAGCUCUGCCUAUGGAGUAGGCAUUCUUUUAUACUUUUACUUUCUUAGUAAACUAGCUUUCACUUUACUCUAUGGACUUGCCCCAAAGUCUUUCUUGGGUGAGAUCCAAGAACCCUCUCUUGGGGUCUCGAUUGGGACCCCUUUCUGGUAAUGGGGAGUGGGGAGGUGCUACAUGCUUUUAAACAACCAGAUCUCAUGAGAACUCACUCACUAUUGCAACAUAGUACCAAAAGGAAAAUCCACCCCCCUGAUCCAAUCACCUCCCACUAGGCCCCACCUCCAAUAUUGGGGAUUACAGUUUAACAUGAGAUUUGGGUAGGAACAUAGAUCCAAACCAUAUCCCUUACUCUGUGGGCCAUUCAAACUGAUCACUUAAGGUAACCCUAUCUUGGCAUAUUAGCUAACUCCACACAACUAACAUUCUCUGAGGUAGAUAAAGUUAUCCAGAUUUUUCUUCUGGAGACAUAAAGAUUCCAAGAGGUAAAGGAAUUUCUCCAAAGAAAAAUCUAGUAUUUAACUGAAUUACACCCAAAGCCUGAUUAUAAAUUUACCAGGCACUAAGCAAGGUAGAAUAAUAUGUGUGAAGCCCCCGUGAGUUCUUGCAAAUUUGGCAAAUCAAAGUAAAAAUUUUGGUCUAGUCAAUAAGAUAUUGCAGUUUGGUGAUAUUCUUAGAUGAUGCUCUUGCCUGAAUUUGAGUUGACGAAAACAAGAGUUAAGAAUGCAUGAAAAUAGACACACUAUGAAUGAUUGUGCUGUUUUUCAGAAUGGUGGUCCCCAGAUUUGUGCAGUACACAACUUGAACAACAUUGCACAGUGAUCCUGCAGGGAAAAUAAUAAGUUAGGAACUUCAUAUAAGAAAAAUCACUAUUUACAUGAUUUGCUUGAAAAAAAUUAAAUUUAUUAAUUUUUAAUUUAAUUAAAAAAUUAAAUCGAAGGCUCGUAUAUGUACACCUGUAGAUUGAAAUUCAAAGUAACAGCAAAAGAUCUGUGAUCUACUUGAGCUCUGCAAUUUCUCAUAUAUGAUGUAUAUGCCUAUACGGUAUCAGAUUGUUGAUUCUCUGCAGAAGUACAGCUUUCUGAGUCUGAGGAGAAAAAACUUACAUAAGCAUCAGAAUCCAAAGACUUCUUUUAUUUCAAACAGCUCUUAACAUUUUGACAAGUUAAGCACAAAUGAAUCAUAAAUGUAUAGAUUAAAUUUCCAUUUGUAACACAAAUGGGUCUAAAUUGGAGAAGGAAAAAGUGGUUGGCCAAGUGCAUUCCUACUUUGCUGAGUCAAGAACUUUGAAAAAAUAGCCUACUGUUUGAAAAAUCUAAAUAUACCCUAAUAAAACCACAAAUUUGAAUAUUUCCAUAUUCUAGUGGUCUGCUUUUAUUUCAGAGUCAAAAUGAUUUAGCAAGAAUGUUUAAAAAGAAAUUCUCUCUCUCCCCCUAAUUAAUGGUUUUUCUUAUCUGGCAUUCAACAUAUUUCUUGAAUUUCUCGACUUCAUCUUCUGUAGCUAACUAAAAACAUAAGCUGAAUAUUUUCUGAUUAAGACCAUGCCUGCUACUGUGUGAGCACAGAAUCUCCUCAGCUUGUUGCAUCCGUUGCAUAAGAGGAACACUUAUUAUUUGGGUAACUGAGUGAAAACCAUCAACAAGAAACACUUCCAAAGGGUGAGGAAAAACAAAUUACUGCUUACCAGCUAUACACCCCAGGUUUUUUAAUCAUGUGAUCUGACUUUAGUUGGAUGUAUUGAGAAAGAAGUUAAAAGGAUUGAAGAAAAGUCAGUAAUCCUUAGUAAAGUGAGUUACCUAUCUCAGUAAAAGAGUCACCCUUUCACCGAUAGUGAGCACUGGAUCCCAGAAGUAGAGACUGCUAAGUGUCCACUGUACCCUCUCACUGGGUGAAAAGGGAAGAUGUUCAUCUUUCCAGGGAUAGGCAGAACUAAAGCAGGCAUGUGGGCAAAGAUGAGGGUUUGGAGUGGUCCAGAGUCAGGUGGUGCUAAGCCAGGGAGGAGGCAGCCUAGGGUGAGCCAGGGACUUAAAUAGAACAGAAAAGGGAGGUGUCAAAGAAUGAGAAGAUAAAAAGAUAAAUAAGGCUGGGCACGGUGGUUCACGCCUGUAAUCCCAGCACUUUGGGAGGCGGAGGCGGGCGGAUCACAGGGUCAGGAGAUCGAGACCAUCCUGGCCAACACAGUGAAACCCCGUCUCCACUACAAAUACAAAAAGUUAUCCGGGCGUGGUGGCGGGCGCCUGUAGUCCCAGCUACUCGGGAGGCUGAGGCAGGAAAAUGGCGU
rnacentral:lncRNA from 1 species